GACGUAGGAGGCGAGCGUUGUCCGGAUUCAUUGGGCGUAAAGAGCGCGCAGGCGGCUCGGUAAGUCGGUUGUGAAAUUCCGGGGCUCAACCCCGGGACUGCGUCCGAUACUGUCGAGCUAGAGGUAGGUAGGGGAGAUCGGAAUUCCUGGUGUAGCGGUGAAAUGCGCAGAUAUCAGGAGGAACACCGGUGGCGAAGGCGGAUCUCUGGGCCUUACCUGACGCUCAGGCGCGAAAGCUAGGGGAGCGAACUGGAUUAGAUACCCAGGUAGUCCUAGCUGUAAACGUUGGGUGCUAGGUGUGGGCGGAUAUCGACCCCGUCCGUGCCGAAGCUAACGCAUUAAGCACCCCGCCUGGGGAGUACGGCCGCAAGGCUAAA
rnacentral:rRNA from 1 species